rnacentral:sRNA from 1 species
AAGGAAUUUCUACCUGAAGGCCAGGACAUUGGUGCAUUCGUCGCUGAACAGAAGGUGGAGUAUACCCUGGGAGAGGAGUCGGAAGCCCCUGGCCAGAGGGCACUCCCCUCCGAGGAGCUGAACAGGCAGCUGGAGAAGCUGCUGAAGGAGGGCAGCAGUAACCAGUGGGUGUUCGACUGGAUAGAGGCCAACCUGAGUGAGCAGCAGAUAGUAUCCAACACGUUAGUUCGAGCCCUCAUGACGGCUGUCUGCUAUUCUGCAAUUAUUUGUAAGAGGAACCAGGGAGAUGGAGGGGCAAGGGUGGGCCUGACAGACAAGUGGAGGGAGGUGGGUAUCAGCCUUGGCCUCCCAGUUCUGAACUGGGGUAAGGGUAUAUUGCUCCACUCAUCCCUGUCUUCUUGUAGUUGAGACUCCCCUCCGAGUGGACGUUGCAGUGCUGAAAGCGCGAGCGAAGCUGCUGCAGAAAUACUUGUGUGACGAGCAGAAGGAGCUACAGGCGCUCUACGCCCUCCAGGCCCUUGUAGUGACCUUAGAACAGCCUCCCAGUAAGAGCCAGGCCACGGG